GUAAGAUGACAAAGUGAAACUUACUAUGAAAAAGAAGGCUGUUUAAAUAGGUCUCUGGAAUGGAGCAGUUGUACAGAUGUUGAUGAGGAUGCAGAUGUAUUCGUGUUUCGACCUAUUUCUGCGAGUCAAGGUGUUAUAGAAGUCAGAAAUGGAAAUCUAAAGGCUCUUCUUUCCCUGACGGCCCCAGGAACCAACAUGUUCA